rnacentral:tRNA from 1 species
AGGUGCGUCAGCACCUGUCGUGGGUCUCCAAAACCUUUGUUGAGGGUUCGAGUCCUUCUGCCCCUGCCA